CGAGGAAUAUUGCACAGUGGGCGCACGCCUGAUGCAGCGACGCCGCGUGUGGGAUGAAGGGGCUACGCCUCGUAAACCACUGUAGCCCGGGACGAAAAACGCCUUAGAGGCGUUAGACGGUACCGGGAAAGUAAGGGUCGGCUAACUACGUGCCAGCAGCCGCGGUAAUACGUAGGACCCAAGCGUUGUCCGGCUUUACUGGGUGUAAAGGGUGCGCAGGCGGAUGGGUAAGUCAGGGGUGAAAGUCUGCAGCUUAACUCAGAACGGCCAAGUGAUACUGCAGUGCUAGAGUGCAGAAAGGGCAAUCGGAAUUCUUGGUGUAGCGGUGAAAUGCGUAGAUAUCAAGAGGAACACCUGAGGCGAAGGCGGGUUGCUAGGCUGACACUGACGCUGAGGCGCGAAAGCCAGGGGAGCAAACG
rnacentral:rRNA from 1 species